UCUGACACAGGUGCUGCAUGGCUGUCGUCAGCUCGUGUCGUGAGAUGUUGGGUUAAGUCCCGUAACGAGCGCAACCCUUGUCCUUAGUUACCAGCACGUUAUGGUGGGCACUCUAAGGAGACUGCCGGUGACAAACCGGAGGAAGGUGGAGAUGACGUCAAGUCAUCAUGGCCCUUACGGCCUGGGCUACACACGUGCUACAAUGGUCGGUACAAAGGGUUGCCAAGCCGCGAGGUGGAGCUAAUCCCAUAAAACCGAUCGUAGUCCGGAUCGCAGUCUGCAACUCGACUGCGUGAAGUCGGAAUCGCUAGUAAUCGUGAAUCAGAAUGUCACGGUGAAUACGUUCCCGGGCCUU
rnacentral:rRNA from 1 species